CUGAAGUGGACUACUGUACAAGUUACACAUUCUCAUUUAUCUCCAUUGGCAGCUCAGUUUUGUGUGAUCUAAAGUUACAGGGCGAGUUUCAGUUCAUUUUCAAUAGAAGAAUUUCAACUCAGGAUAACAUUGAUCCAUCAGCCCAUUCGGUGAUUCAGAUUUUGCAAAUUUAUGAAAGAUAUAAAGACUACCAGCUAGGCUUUGCAAACUGUGACCACACCUUCUCAAGCUCAGAAGUGAUAGAGUUCUCGCAAAUAUCUGAAUAUCAGUAUCUACUGCUGAGCUUGUUUUAGAUUGUGUGGCGAUAUUUAUCUAGUGAAGUUCUAAGAAUUACUGAAGCCAUCUCUUAACUCAGAAAGUAUUCUAAGUAGUUCAUUAUUUUUCAAAUCUAGCUCUUGCUUCUUCAAGACAAGGUAGGGAAAAGUAAACCGGUUGGGUGUUGUUAGUUGUGAUCGUGGGUGGUGAGGUAUAUUUCACUUAAUAUUAUAUAUGUAUAAGGGAUAGUGAAGUGGAAUUCUCAUCGGCAGCUUUCAUACUGAAUGUAUUAUGCUUACCUACACACAAGCUAGGCUUUGCAAAUUGUGACCAACAUUCUCGAGCUUGUAAGUGAUAGGGAUUUUGCUAAUAUAUGAACAACCGUAUCUACUGCUGAGGUAACAAAAGUUUCAAGUCUCAAAGUAAGGUGCCUUUUUCUAGGUUACAACCUUCCAUUUAGCUUGUUUGAGAAUUUUGUGGAGAUAUUUAUCUAUUGAAGUUCUAAGAAGUUAUUGAAGCCAUCUCUUUACUCGAGAAAAUCAUUUAGGUAGUUCAUUAUUUUUCAAGUCAAACUCUUGCUUCUUCAAGAUAAUACUUUUGACGUCAAAUUGUCUCCUCCAGGGCAAGGACAAGCGGGGACUCGUCUUGACGGGGAAAUUUGUCAUCCCUUUCAUGGAGGGAUUUUUAAUAAUUAUGGGGAGACAUAUAAUAGUUUCUAAUAA